rnacentral:lncRNA from 1 species
CUGUGGAGAGACAGGCAAGAUAAGCACAAACACAGGCUGCGCACAUCACCAUUUCCUUCACCACAUUGCAAUUGAGCACUUCCUCCUGGACUCUACCUGCUCCUUUCUCCACCUUCCCUGUGUCCAGGCCUUUUGGAGGCAGGUGAUUCUCCAUCUAUGCGUAAGAACAGUGUCCUUGGGAGAAACCUCUCCUGAGGCUGGCCCAGCUCGGAGUUCCUACAGGUCUGUGUCUUGCUGUUAUUUUGUAGGUGUUUAUCUUGGUGCUGUCUGUGUUAGCAAGUGAGCAUUCAGCACAUUUGAGCCCACUCGCUUCGCUCUGAAAUAGCCUGCACAGAGUCUUCGUGCCGCACCCUCUCUGGAGCAGCUCCACUUCUGUGUUUUCAAUUGGACUCUCCAGUUCUGCCAUGCAAAAGCUCCAACUCAAUGGACAGCAGCCUCAGUGGAUGGUUUCCAUGCAUACAUCCAGGAAAAUGGGAAAGUUUAAUUGCAUAAAUUAUACGAGAAAGUGAUCUUCCCAUGGCUACUGAGCGAAUAUAUGUUAGCAUGUCAUUGAUGCUAUGCUAAAUCCUAAUGGUUCAUACCGACAUUAAACCCAAGAAUGUUUCUCAGGUGAGAAAGCUGCAGUUGUAUGCAAUAUGCCUACCUUCCUCUUGUGGGAUGCAAAGGAAAACACAUGCAUGCACAGGCAAAUGUUCUUAAACACAC